AAGGUCUCACUCUGCGCUCCAGAUUGGAGUGCAGGAGCACCAUCGUAGCUCACUGCAGCCUUGAAUUCCUGGGCUCCAGCAAUCCUCCCACCUCAGCCUCUUUAGUAGCUAGUACUGCAGGCACAUGCCACUAUAUCCAGUUUAUUUAAAAUUUUUUUAAAAAUUAUACCUUAAGUUCUGGGAAACAUGUGCAGAACAUGCAGGUUUGUUACGUAGGUAUACACGUGCCAUGGUGGUUUGCUGCACCCGUUAACCCAUCAUCUACAUUAGGUGUUUCUCCUAAUGCUAUCCCUCCCAUAACCCCCACCCACCGACAGGCCCCAGUGUGUGAUAUUCCCCUUGCGUGUCCAUGUGUUCUUGUUGUUCGACUUCCACUUAUGAGUGAGAACAUGCGGUGUUUGGUUUUCUGUUCCUGUGUUAGUUUGCUGACAAUGAUGGUUUCCAGCUUCAUCCAUAUCCCUGCAAAGGAUAUGAACUCAUCCUUUUUCUGGCUGCAUAGUAUUCCAUGGUGUAUAUGUGCCACAUUUUCUUUAUCCAGUCUACCAUUGAUGGGCAUUUGGGUUGGUUCCAAGUCUUUGCUAUUGUGAAUAGUGCUGCAAUAAACAUACGUGUGCAUGUGUCUUUAUAGUGGAAUGAUUUAUAAUCCGUUGGGUAUAUACCCAGUAAUGGGAUGGCUGGGUCAGAUGGCAUUUCUGGUUCUAGAUCCUUGAGGAAUCACUGCACUGUCUUCCCCAAUGGUUGAACUAAUUUACCCUCCUACCAACAGUGUAAAAGCGUUCCUUUUUCUCCACAUCCUUUGCAGCAUCUGUUGUUUCCUGACUUUAUAAUGAUCAUCAUUCUAACUGGCAUGAGAUGGUAUCUCAUUGUGGUUUUGAUUUGCAUUUCUCUAAUGACCAGUGAUGACAAGCUUUUUUUCAUAUGUUUGUUGGUUGCAUAAAUGUCUUCUUUCGAGAAGUGUCUAUUCAUAUUCUUCACCUACUUUUUGAUGAAGUUGUUUGUUUUUCUCUUGUAAGUUUAAGUUCCUUGUCAAUUCUGGAUAUUCGACCUUUGUCAGAUGGACAGAUUGCAAAAAAUUUCUCCCAUUCUGUAGGUUGCCUGUUCACUCUGAUAGUUUCUUUUGCUGUGCAGAAGCUCUUUCAUUUAAUAAGAUCCCAUUUGUCAAUUUUGGCUUUUGUUGCCAUUGCUUUUGGUGUUUUAGUCAUGAAGUCUUUGCCCAAGCCUAUGUCCUGAAUGGUAUUGCCUAGGUUUUCUUCUAGGAUUUUUAUGGUUUUAGGUCUUAUGUUUAAGGAAAGACAACCUUUUUAACACAUCGUGUUACAAAACAGGAUUUCCACAUGCAGAUGAGUGGUGGUGGAUCUUUACCUUACGACAUUUGCAAAAAUUAACACAAACUGGAUGAAAGACCUAAACUUAACAACUAAAAUAAUUUUUAAAAUUACAGAAAAUAUUGGGAGAUACUUUCAUUAUAUUAGAUAAGGUACGAUUAUUUGUAUAAGACACAAAAUGCACAGGGAACAAAAGAGAACAUAGAUAACUUGGGCUGGGCGCAGUGGCUCACACGUGUAAUCCCAGCACUUUGGGAGGCCGAGACAGGUGGAUCAUGAGAUCAAGAGAUCGAGACCAUUCUGGCCAACAUGGUGAAACCCCAUCUUUACUAAAAAUACAAAAAUUAGCUGGGCGUGGUGGCAGAUGCCUGUAGUCCCAGCUACUCAGGAGGCUGAGGCAGGAGAAUCACUCGAACCUGGGAAGCAGAUGUUGCAGUGAGCCGAGAUUGCGCCAGUACACUCCAGCUCGGC
ensembl:lncRNA